UGUUCCUGUGUUGCCUUCCCGUCGAAUGGAAAAUCUCGCGAGAUAGCCCCGCCCCUUUCCCCCUUGUGGCUUUGUGGCCGCAAAGUGGACCUCGAAAGCAGUGCCUGUGUCCCGGGCGUAUCCUCUGACUGUUGUCGUGGCUGUCUCGGUCCACAGGACGACUGCUCGUGCUCUCGGAUGUGGAAAAUUAAGCGGACAUGGGGGGUCUCGGCCCCUGGUUGCUCCCAAUCAAGUCCCUCGAUAGGAAUGACUUUCGAGAUACCUCAUUGAUCGCAGGCCGUCUAGGCCCGUGGCAUCGAUGCGGGUCCGAAGUCGAGAAAGGAUGCUACCUGGUUGAUCCUGCCAGUAGUCAUAUGCUUGUCUCAAA
rnacentral:misc_RNA from 1 species